rnacentral:rRNA from 1 species
AGAGUUUGAUCCUGGCUCAGGACGAACGCUGGCGGCGUGCCUAAUACAUGCAAGUUGAGCGCUGAAGGUUGGUACUUGUACCGACUGGAUGAGCAGCGAACGGGUGAGUAACGCGUGGGGAAUCUGCCUUUGAGCGGGGGACAACAUUUGGAAACGAAUGCUAAUACCGCAUAAAAACUUUAAACACAAGUUUUAAGUUUGAAAGAUGCAAUUGCAUCACUCAAAGAUGAUCCCGCGUUGUAUUAGCUAGUUGGUGAGGUAAAGGCUCACCAAGGCGAUGAUACAUAGCCGACCUGAG